GGCUCUGUAGUGAAGUUCAUGUUGGGUUGCAAGCUCAAUGAUGUGCAUUAAACAUGCGCCAGGGUCU
rnacentral:tRNA from 1 species